rnacentral:rRNA from 1 species
AGCUCCAAUAGCAUAUGUUAAAGUUGUUGCGGUUAAAAAGCUCGUAGUUGGAUCUCGGCGGGCCGGGGGCGGUUCGCUCUCUGGCGUGACUGUCCCACGGGCCCGUGUGUGCGGCGGAGGUCGCGCGGGUGCUCUUAACCGAGUGUCCCGCGGCGCCGUCGGGUUUACUUUGAAAAAAUUAGAGUGCUCCAGGCAGGCUUGACACGCCUGAAUAGUCGUGCAUGGAAUGAUGGAACAGGACGUCGAUUCUGUUCUGUUGGUCUUCGGAAUGAGACGUAAUGAUUGAUAGGGACAGUCGGGGGCAUUGGUAUUCAGACGCUAGAGGUGAAAUUCUUGGACCGUCUGAAGACCCACUACUGCGAAAGCAUUUGCCAAGAAUGUUUUCA